UGACCACCACUCCUUCUGCAGUGGAGCGGCCGUGAUACGGGGCGGCAGCGUAGCCUAGUGGUUAGAGUGUAGAGGAGAUAGGUAGCCUAGUGGUUAGAGUGUAGAGAUGACAGGUAGUCUAGUGGUUAGAGUGUAGAGGUGGCAGGUAGCCUAGUGGUUAGAGUGUAGAGAUGACAGGUAGUCUUGUGGUUAGAGUGUAGAGGUGGUAGGUAGUCUAGUGGUUAGAAGGUAGAGGAGGCAGCGUAGCCUAGUGGUUAGAGUGUAGAGGUGGUAGGUAGUCUAGUGGUUAGAGUGUAGAGAUGACAGGUAGUCUUGUGGUUAGAGUGUAGAGGUGGCAGGUAGCCUAGUGUUUAGAGUGUAGAGGUGGCAGGUAGUCUAGUGGUUAGAGUGUAGAGGUGGCAGGUAGCCUAGUGGUUAGAGUGUAGAGGUGGCAGGUAGUCUAGUGGUUAGAGUGUAGAGGUGGCAGGUAGCCUAGUGGUUAGAGUGUAGAGAUGACAGGUAGUGUAGUGUUUAGAGUGUAGAGGUGGCAGGUAGUCUAGUGGUUAGAGUGUAGAGGUGGCAGGUGGUCUAGUGGUUAGAGUGUAGAGGUGGCAGGUAGCCUAGUGGUUAGAGUGUAGAGGUGGCAGGUAGCCUAGUGGUUAGAGUGUAGAGGUGGCAGGUGGUCUAGUGGUUAGAGUGUAGAGGUGGCAGGUAGUCUAGUGGUUAGAGUGUAGAGGUGGUAGGUAGUCUAGUGGUUAGAGUGUAGAGGUGGCAG
rnacentral:lncRNA from 1 species